UACAGAGGGUGCAAGCGUUAAUCGGAAUUACUGGGCGUAAAGCGUGCGUAGACGGUUGCGUAAGUCAGAUGUGAAAGCCCCCGGGCUCAACCUGGGGAAUUGCAUUUGAGACUGAAUAGCUAGGGUGCGGAAGAGGGAAGCGGAAUUUCCGGUGUAGCGGUGAAAAUGCGUAGAUAUCGGAAGGAACACCAGUGGCGAAAGCGACUUCCUGGACCAAUACUGACGCUCAUGUGCGAAAGCGUGGGGGAGCAAACAGGG
rnacentral:rRNA from 1 species